rnacentral:rRNA from 1 species
UACGGAGGGUGCAAGCGUUGCUCGGAAUCAUUGGGCGUAAAGCGCACGUAGGCGGUUCGUUAAGUCGGAUGUGAAAGCCCUGGGCUCAACCCAGGAAGUGCAUACGAAACUGGCGAGCUUGAGUAUGGAAGAGGGUCGCGGAAUUCCCGGUGUAGAGGUGAAAUUCGUAGAUAUCGGGAGGAACACCAGUGGCGAAGGCGGCGACCUGGGCCAAUACUGACGCUGAGGUGCGAAAGCGUGGGGAGCAAACAGG